AUGCACCAGAUACUGACCUGACCGCCUGCAGCUCAGUUGAGUUUUAUUCUUCCCACACUGAUGCGUGCAUUAUGGUGGCCUUCAGGUCCAAAAGCGGUGCUAGAGAAACAAGACCCUGAGAUUUAAGCUCUGAGAGAGGAGUCACUCCUCAGGUGUUAUAACUCCAGGGCACAUCA